GACGAACGCUGGCGGCGUGCUUAACACAUGCAAGUCGAACGAAGUGGCGAACGGGUGAGUAACGCGUAAUCAACCUGAGCUUCAGAGGGGUAAAACAGUUGGAAACGACUGCUAAUACAGCAUACUGAAGGAGGGGAUUGCGUCUGAUUCGCUAGUUGGAGGGGUAAGGGCCCACAAAGGCGCAGAGCAGUAGCCGGUCGGAGAGGGUGAACGGCAACAUUGGGACUGAGACACGGCCCAGCCUCCUACGGGAGGCAGCAGGGGGGAAUCGUCCGAAAUUGACCAAAGUCUUACGUAGCAACGCCGCGUGAGUGAUGACGGCCUUCGGGUUGUAAAGCUCUGUUAAUCGGGACGCGGUACCGGAAUAGAAAGCCACGGCUAACUACGUGCCAGCCGCCGCGGUAAUAC
rnacentral:rRNA from 1 species